UCCCCUAAAAUUUCAAAGUUGGUUUUAUCACAAGUGUGUUGUCAAAGGGUGUCCUUCUUCUUUUCUGCGCCCUGCGAUCAAUUUUAAGAGCUCAUUAAUGGGCUGAUCUCCUGAUUGAAUAGCCAGUAUCAUGUUGAUAUGUAUUUUUAAUGAUUUCAUAUUCUCAUUAUUCUGAGGUCGACACAUUCAACUCAAUUGCUGUUUCUGAUCUACUGGCUGUUGCACAUAAAUAUAACAGUUACAGGCUAGGGAUAAACUCACAGCAUUGGAGGUUUCACAGGAAUUCCAAAUAUCGAUUGUGUUGGCACAAGAAAGUCUUUAUUUCAUGGAAAGAAAUGGAUUGAUUUGUAGAGAUGAUACUGUUAGAGGCCUUGUCUUUUAUCCUAAUCUCUUCUCAAGUUCUGCUUAAUAAACAUUUAAAAAUUGUA